CUUUGACACUACUAUUGAAACUGACACGUUUCUAUGGAGAUCGCUGCCUUAUAUGGAGCUCGUGUCAAGGAGCCAAGAGAAGGGCUGCUGGCAACUGAUAAUCAAAGGCGACUGACUGGUCAGAGCCCUGAACUGGGGGGAGAGAAAAUGGGAGGCUAAGGCUGGGAGACGCCUGAAGAAAAGAUUCCUUCAUCAUUUCUAAGAUCAGAAUAAACGCUUGAUUUUGUCCCGAAAUAAUGAAGAGAUUUUCAAUGA